GCGCUUACUUGCUUUUCUCUUAAUGUUGUGACUCUUUUAUUUUUGCAGCGACCAGAAAGCUGUACAUCUCGAAUGCUUGGAAUGGAUCAAAAUUAAUUCUUGAUUUUGAUCAUCACAUGUCACAACCUCCAAAUAUAAGUUGGGAGAUACAGUGAGUUCCCAGAUUCAUUCACAACAACUAUUCCAACCUUCUGAGUCUCAAGGGUCAUUUGUAGGGAAAUCUUUCUCCUACACGAAUGACGUCAAAACUAUUGGUGACAUCAUUUCUCUUCAAGAGGUAACCUUCUACAUCUCAAUGCUUCUGUUAGCUGCUCAGAGCACCGUAACCAUUUAUAAUGAUUUUUACUUCAUUCUUCUUCAAAUGCAAAUGUUCUAUAACAUUCAAUAUCAUCUUGAUUUAUAUCAAACUUUUUGCAACACAAUUGGAACAACUAAGAGGUUCAAGUCAAGUUGGUUUGGUUGGUACUGUGAGCAGUGUCCAUCAUGUAACAUGACUAAUAAAUCUCAUAGGGAGCUUUUCAUAUGCAGCUGUUGUGAAAAUAUAGCUCCACCAGUAACAAAGUAAGCCCCUCAUUCUUAGUUACAAAUAUAUUCUCUUGGAUUUAUGAUAUUGUUUGGAAACUUCUUUGCAUUUGAAACAUUUGAUUAGGUAUAAAAUAGAAAUUAAGGUAGAGUAUGCAGGCAAGACCGGUUGUUUUAUGUUUUGGGACAAUGAGUGUAUUAAAUAUGUUGGAAUGCCUGCUAAUGAUUUAAGAGAAAUUAUGAAAAAGGUAUGUAAUUAUUAUUUAUUUCAAUACUUGAUACAUGUUGCAAUGUCUGCUUGAUACAUAAAAUGUUUAAGCUACUGUUUGUUUUACCAGAUACUGACUUCGGUGCAACAUAGUUUCUAGAUUGCUAGUGUUAGUUUUUACUUGGUUUGUUUUUAGCUUGAAAAUGUCUAAAUUAUUGAAAUAGAUUUUGAAGUUUUGUUUUGAUAUAACAAACUAUUAAUUUCUGUUUGAUACAUGUUGGAGUGUCUGCUUGAUACAUGUUAGAAUGAACUUCUUUUCACUGAGCUUAUAUUAUCAACAUUUCAUCUUAAUAUUUUUUUGUUUGAAAGGUUAUAAGUCCUAAUUGUUGCUUCAUGUACUGUUUUGUCUGUCUAUCAUUAUUCAUGCUACCACUUCAUAUUUUUAACAUUACACUGCUCCUGAUUAUUGCUUCAUGUAAUGUUUUGCCUGCCUAUCAUUAUUGGUUUUUUGUUGGAAAGGUUAUAAGUUCUCUUAGUUUUCAUACACAUUAUGUCAUGCUAUCUUUAACAUGUUUCAGUGUUGUUUUGUUUGUCUAUCAUUCUUCAUGCUACCAUUUCAUAGUUGUAACAUUACACCACAUUAUUAGGAACCAUUCUUCAUGCUACCAUUUCAUUUCUACUUCAACUGUGAUUCACUAUACUGCGGGAAGUGAUAGUGUCUGUUACCCAAAAUAACAAACUGCCUACAUUUAACGAAUACUAUUUCUUAUUUGCAUACUAUAUUCCCAAUUCGAUGAAGAUCAUCCAUAAAUCUACCCAACACACCUGUACAAACUUUUAGGCAAAUAAUUUGCUUUUCGUGUGAGUUUCAACCGAAUUUUAAGCAGUCAUCUAUUGUCAAGCUAAAUGAGGAUCAACAAGUAAUCCAAAUGAUCAAAGAGGCCAUGCAUCCAAAUGAGCAAACUUCUAAAAUUGCCAUGAAUGCCCCGACUAUCAAAGGAAUAGAAAAAUCAUUUGUAACCAACAUAUAGACGACAAUGAAUCAAUCACUCUAAGUUUCAUUCAAAAAGCAAUUUUGUUUAAUACUCAUAUUUGUCUUAAGCUAUUAAGUUUCUAUGAAAGAUAAUUUCCCUAAGAUAUUAUAGCUUGACUUUCCCAUUUUUAGUCAACCAUGUCUGCUUCACAAAACUGGAGCGACACAGAUAAUUCAAACAAUACCCCUUACAAGAGAUUGUCCAAAGAUCAUUCAACUAAGGAGCUAACAACUUCAACUAUGUUGUCACCCAAACAAUCUGCAAUCAAGAGUCUGAAACAUUCCAAGAAGGAAUGAUGCCUUGCUUUCAUCUCGACUUAUUUUGGUACAACAACGUUCUGUUAGGUUGUUAGAAGUUCCUUUUUUUGCUACUUUUAGUUAAUUCUCAACC